GACGAACGCUGGCGGCGUGCUUAACACAUGCAAGUCGAACGAAGUGGCGAACGGGUGAGUAAUACGUGAGUAACCGGCCCUCCUUUUUGGGAUAAGCCUUGGAAACGGGGUCUAAUACCGAAUAAAGGGGGAUGGGCUCGCGGCCUAUCAGCUUGGUGGUGGGGUGAUGGCCUACCAGGGCGGUGACGGGUAGCCGGCCUGGGAGGGUGACCCGCGACAUUAGACCUGGUCUACGGUCCAGACUCCGACAGGAGGCAGCAGUAUUGGAUAUUGCACCAUGGCCGAAAGCCUCAAUCAGCGACGCGGCGAGAGGGUUUACGGAUUUCGGAUUGUAAUCAUCUUUCGCUAUCGACCCGGUACGUGCAGAAUAAGCGCCGGCUAACUACGUGCCAGCCGCCGCGGUAAUUC
rnacentral:rRNA from 1 species